GCAGACAGGAAGACUUCUUGUCCAACAUCAAUGUCUGAUCUCACUAAUGAUUUUCUUUAAAAAAUUU